GACACUUCAGCUGAGACCCAGAUUUCUUCACCGAAAAAGCUCCGGGCAAAGUUCAAGUUUCUUUUAAUUGCCUAUCUACAUAACUGUGUCAUGCUGCACACAAAAUCAACCAGGAUUUUGAUUUUGAUGAAAACCUCAAUUCAAGGACAAGCUGCAACAGUACAAAAAGCAGAACUUCCGUUGGAGGCCUAAAGGAUGAACGUCAGGAAAAGGGAGAUGUUCUGCGACUGACUGUUCAACCCCGAUCAACAACUUAGUUUCAUGAGAAUGUCCCAGCUUGCUGAACUGUUGGAAUCAUGAAAUGAUUUAGAAGCCGAAGGAACUGGCCUUGGUUCUUUAUAUUGAACUGAUAAGUUGACAUAUCGGCUUAGAAGAGAAUAUCCACAGGUCUCUCUCCUUGAUAUAUGCGACAUCAUCUACACCGCUACUUUAUCUGCUGGAUGUGUGGUUGAAUCUCUGAGGACUUCAGAGGAGGAUUCAAAACUGAAACUUUGGCUUAGAAAGCAAGACAUACGCUCCAUCCUGUUGUUAUGCCGUUACUGCACAAGAUUUGAUGAGAACUUUGAUGUAGUGAUAACAUUUACUUGAAGUUGUAUCAGCAUGACUA